rnacentral:lncRNA from 1 species
UGUUAAAGGUUAACGGGUAGCGGGACCCCUAGGGACCCCCAUGGAUACUAGUAGGCUGGUAAAUGAGAAAAGGAUAUGUGAUAUAAUGAUUGAAUUACAAAAGACGUGAUAAGUGCUAUGUUUUACAGCUUAUAUUAUUCCAUGAUUGUGAUAAUGUUAUUGUUUUCUUAUAUUGUUUUAUGAAUUCCACCGAGGUAAGUGGAUGGUAAAGGUUUUAUCAUGAAUAAAAGGAUUUGUUGUAAAUCAUGCUCCAUUGGUCUUUUGUGUUUUUCUACCCACCUUUACCUCCGUGACGGUGAGAUAUCGUGAUGUUCUUACUGGGCUAGUGUAACUCACUCCUUAUUUAACCAUUUCAGAUCAGGAAGACAUGGUUUCCGAGC